GGUAUACUAGUACUUAAAUGGAACGUUUUAGAUAGCUAGUAAUACUGUGUCUUUGGCUCUUGCCAGGAUGUUAUUAUUGGUGCCUUUAUUUCUCUUUUUAUUGGCCAAUCCGUGGGGGGAAAGGUAGUUAUGGAAAUAUACAGAAACAAUUUCUUCUUCUCUUAAUUCUUUCUUCUACCUCUCUCUCUCUUGCUUUCAUCUUUCUUCUUCCUGGAAUUUUUCCUUCAAACCUUCAUUUCUCACCAAACGUAUCAAAGCCAGAUGAUUCUCAUGGCCAAUGACGGAGUCAUGACAUGACUGCAAAAGGAAUUGGGGCUUCUGUAACACGAGCUUUCCCAGAUUGACAACAAGCUCGAUACUAAACUGGAAAUGAAGUUGGACUCUCGUUUCAAGGUUCAUGAGGAUUUUAAUGGGGAAAUACGAUGGGAAAUUAGAGCUGAGAUGCAUUCAUUUUUUGAGCAGUAUUUUGGACUACCUUCAACCACUGUUCAUGGAGGGGUUUCAGAUAGGGGUAAGGGACUUUUGGGAACACUGUCACCAGGAUUUCCACCCAAGGAUAACCUAGUUAUGUCACCAGUUAUAGAUCUCGGACACACGGGUACUUACUUUCUAGCAAGCUUAGGGGAUCUUUUAGGAAAAGGGUUCCAGCUUACUUGGCCUCGAUUUGAUGGAACAGACUUUCGGGUAUGGUCCAAGCUUAAGUAGUUUUUCAAAGCUAAAAACGUGGAAGAUUCAACUAAGGUUCGAAUCGUGAUGUUGUAUUUAGAGGGAAAGGCCCUGGAGUGGCACCAUUUCUUUUUUCAACAACAUGGUGGCUUUCAACAAUUGACUUGGGAGGCUUAUGCGCGAGCCUUGCAGGAGAGAUUCGUAUCUCGUAGGCACUUAGACCCUAUGACUGAGUUGGUGGCUCUUAAACUGGUACGGUCAACCAAUAUUAUGACCAGUUUGUGAGCCUUUUGAAUCAACUACGUUUUCCUGAGAUUUAUGGCUCGAGUAUUUUUGUGCAUAAUCUCAAACCCUAUAUUGGUCAGUAUUUACGAUUAUUCAAGCUAACCCCCUUGAUAGAGGCCUUCACUAGUGCUAUUGAAGUGGAGGAUAUAGUCGGUCCUGUUACUAAGAAAAAUACUCGUAUAGGAGGGAACUUUAGCUCCCCCAAGCCUUUAUUGCCUCUAGUUAAAGGAUACAACUCACACACUAUACCAGGAGUUCAUUCUUCCAACAAUUCUCAUACAAAAACUCUAGUUAAAGCUCUUUCAUAUAUUGAGAUGGAAGACAGAAGAAAAAAGGGACUAUGUUUUUGGUAUCCCUCCAAAUACACACUAGGGCAUAAAUGUACCAAGUCUUAAAUUUAUCAAUUGGUGAUUGAAGCCUCGGUUGAGCUGGAUAAUAAACUUAAGAGCCUUACUUCUGAUAAGUUUCAAGAUUGCCCUGAGAAGUUAGAAGUGACUGAAGUUGAAGUUGAGUUAGUAACUUCUGUUCUGUCUUUGCAUGCCCUUAGUGGUUCUCAGGGUCACAACACAAUGCGACUAGCAGCUCGAAUUGGUUAAUGUGAGGCCAUUAUUUUGGUAGAUUCAGGCAGUACUCACAAUUUUGUGGACUGCAAGCUAGUGAAGCAACUACAUCUACCUGUGGAUUCUUCUUGUAAGCUUAUAGUGAUGGUUGCUAAUUGUGUGCAAUUAGCUACUUAGGGGGUCAGUCGUUUGGUGAAAUGGGAUGCGCAAGGGUGUUAAAUAUCCACUGAUUUUAUGGUGCUUCCAGUAAAAGGUUGUGAUUUAGUUCUUGGUGUCCAAUGGCUCUUUUCACUAGGGUCAAUUAUCUGGAAUUUCUCUUCUCUUACAAUGCAAUUCGAGUAUUUAGGGACGUCCUGUACUCUCCAAGGUAUUCUUCCUGAGAGUCUACAUGUUUCUUCUGGUGCUCAAAUUUCUAAAUACUUCAGUGUGAUGGGACAGGGCCCCACUCUCAUGUUGUUGACUAGUUCUAUCCAAACCACUCUGACCUUACCAUCACAGACUGUGCACAAAGAUGUUGAAUUGCUCUUAAAUGAAUUUGAGGAUCCUAAAGGCCUUCCUCCUGUCAGAUUACAGGACCACAAGAUACCCGUUCAAGAUGAGACUUAAGUGGUCAAGGUCCAUCCAUAUAGGUACCCUGCUGUUUAAAAGAAUGAAAUUGAAAAGCUUAUCAAGGAAAUUAUUGAUACUGGGAUUAUAAGGGAAAAUAACAGUCCCUUUGCAUCACCAAUUGUUAUGGUGAAAAAGAAAGAUGGCAGCAGGUGAUUAUGUGUGGAUUAUAGGCAGCUUAACCAGCUAACUAUCAAGGACAAAUUCUCUAUUCUUGUGAUCAAGGAACUGUUGGAUGAGUUGGGAUAAGCGACCUAUUUCUCCAAACUGGAUUUCAGGUCCCGGUACCACCAGAUUCGAAUGUGGGAGGGUGACAUACAUAAAACAACCUUUAGGAUUCAUGAGGGACACUGUGAAUUCCUGGUCAUACCAUUUGGCGUGACCAAUGCACCCUCUAGUUUUCAAUCAUUAAAGAACAGUGUCUUCAAACAACUGCUAAGGAAGACAAUGUUAUUUUUUUGAUACAUCCUAGUGUAUUCUGCUAGCUGGUAAAAACAUUUGACUCAUCUAUGUGAGGUCUUAAAUAUUCUAAGAUAUCACCAAUUGUAUGCCAACAAGGGAAAAUGUAGUUUUGGCACUACAGAAGUGGAAUAUCUGGGGCAUAUUAUAUCUCAAUGAUCUGUUUCAAUGGACCCCUCGAAAGUUGAUGGGGUUUUUCAUUGGCUUACCCCUGUUUUGAUAAAGAGUUGCAAGGUUUUCUAAAGCUCUCGGUUCUUUACAGAAGGUUCAUUCGACACUAUGGAACAAUUGUCAAGACCUUAACAGCAUUGUUAAAAAAAGAGACACCUUGGAGUUCGUUUGACAAAGAACAGACAGCCUUUAAUCAACUCAAGGCAGCAAUGACUCAAGCACUUGUGUUGGUUCUUCCUAAUUUCAGAUAUUAGUUUUGUGUAGAGACUGAUGCUUGUAGUCACGGUAUAGGGGCAGUCUUGUAACAAAAAAAGAGAACUGUUGCUUUCUUCAGCAAAGGGUUGGGAGUCAAACAUCAGUCCUUGUCCAUGUAUGACAAGGAAAUGCUCAUAGUAUUACUGGUUGUUAAAAAACGACAUCCAUAUUUAGUAAGCAGACAUUUCAGCAUCAAAGCUGACCACUAGAGCCUGCGGUUCCUUUCUAACAGACAAGCUUUUACACCUUAUCAACAGAAAUGCGUUGGAAAGAUGCUUGGGUAUGAUUAUUCUAUCAUUUAUAGAAAAGGAAGCCAAAAUAUAGUAGCUGAUGCAUUGUCUCAAAUGGAUUAUGUAUAAGAAGGGCAACUGUUCCAAUGCAAGGGAAAUAUUUCCUGGUCUGACGUAUGUGAACAAAUAUUGAAUUCUUGUGGCACUAAUCCUAUUUUGCAGCAGAUUUGCUUAGAUUUACAAAAGGACCCUCAUCUGUAUUCGAAAUACUCAUGGCAUGGCAGAGUGUUAAGAAGGAAAGGAAAUGUAGUAGUUGGUCAGGAUCCAAAAUUGAGGAAGAAACUUUUUGACUUGUUUCACAGUGGGGCUAUUGGUGGACAUUCAGGAGUGCAAGCAACCAGACAUAGGAUCUCAGGGCUUGUCUAUUGGAAAUGUCUUUCCAAAGAUGUGAAGAGAUGGGUCAAAGAAUGUGUUACUUGUCAAAGAUGUAAAUAUGACAAUUCAGCAUACCCAAGUCUACUUCAACCCUUGCCAGUGCCUGAUCGUGAUUGGGCAGCUGUAAGCUUAAAUUUUGUGGAAGGUUUGCCAUCAUCGAAAGUGAAGGAUACUGUUCUUGUGGUAGUUGAUAGGCUUAUUAAAUAUGGCCAUUUCUUGGCCUUAUCCUUACUGCACUCAUCGUGGCUUAGCAGUAUUUAGAGCACAUCUAUAAAUUACAUGGAGUUCCAGAAUGCAUCAUCUCUAAUUGAGACAAGAUGUUUAUCAGUUCAUUUUGGCAAAGAUCUAUUUAAACAUUUGGGGGUUAAGCUUCACUUAUCCACUACUUACCACCCCCAAACUGAUGGUCAGACUAAAAUGCUCAAUCGAUGCUUAAAAGGGUAUUUGAUAUGCAUGGCUGGGGAGAGACCUUUUGAUUGGGCACUAUGGCUUCCCUUGGUUGAGUGGUGCUAUAAUACCACUUAUCACUCAACCAUACGAACUACUCCUUAUGAGGCUCUAUAUGGUCAAUAACCUCUACACCAUUUACCUUAUUUGGCAGGGGCCUCCCAAUUGCUGUAGUAGACAUGAACCUCCAGUAGAGAGAAGCAGCUCGACAUAUGCUGGAGUUUUAUCUCAAAAGGGCUCAAGAUAGAAUGAAACACAUGACUGAUAAAAAGAGAUCGGAGAUGGAAGUUCAAGUGGGGGACUUGGUCUACCUUAAGCUUCAACUAUACAGGCAACAUUCCAUUAGGAAACAAGUUUGAAUUGUUGACAGAAAAAUGGUUAAAUGAGGUAAUCAAGCAGACACAAAGGUGUUAGUUGAAUGGGCAAAUACUUUCCUAGAAGACUCGAUGUGGGAGAGGUUUUUUGAGUUUCAAAAGUAGUAUCCACUAUUCAAUCCUUGAGGACAAGGACCGUGUUCGAGAGGGGAGUACUUGAUAUGGGAUAAUUUUUCUCAAUAGUCAAAAAACGGUUUGCUAAUUGUAAUUCUGUUAAAUUUAGUUAUCGUAAUGAAAUAGUGUGUUUUGGGGGUAUGGAUUAAUGAAAAUGGUGUGUGUAAGGGGGGUAUACUAGUACUUAAAUAGAGCGUUUUAGAUAGUUAGUAAUACGGUGCGUUUGGAUCUUACUAGGAUGCUAUUAUUGGUGCUGUUAUUUCUCUUUUUAUUGGGCAAUCCGUGGGAGGAAAGGCAGUUAUGGAAAUAUACAAAAACAAUUUCUUCUUCUCUUAAUUCUUUCUUCUCUCUCUCUCUUGCUUUCAUCUUUCUUCUUGGAAUUUUUCCUUCAAACCUUCAUUCCUCACCAUCUUCUUGCUGAUUUCUGUACUUCUUUGCUCUUUACAGAUUUCAUUAUUUAGCCAAUUGUGGUAAACUGUGAGUUUAAUGGCGUGCGAGAGCUUAGAUUGUUUUUCGGUGAAUAAAAUAAGAUAGUUUACGAUUGUAAAUUUUUUAGACUUUGUUUUUUGGUUUUUGUUUUGUUUGUUUAAGUAUUUUAACAUAAAAUUGCAAAACCACACAGGUUAACAAUUUAAAA